rnacentral:rRNA from 1 species
CUACGGGGUGCAGCAGUGGGGAAUUUUGGACAAUGGGGGCAACCCUGAUCCAGCCAUUCCGCGUGAGUGAAGAAGGCCUUCGGGUUGUAAAGCUCUUUCGGCAGGAACGAAACGGUGCGGGCCAAUACCCUGCAUCAAUGACGGUACCUGAAGAAGAAGCACCGGCUAAUUACGUGCCAGCAGCCGCGGUAAUACGUAGGGUGCGAGCGUUAAUCGGAAUUACUGGGCGUAAAGCGUGCGCAGGCGGUUAUGUAAGACAGGUGUGAAAUCCCCGGGCUUAACCUGGGAACUGCGCUUGUGACUGCAUAACUCGAGUGUGGCAGAGGGGGGUGGAAUUCCACGUGUAGCAGUGAAAUGCGUAGAGAUGUGGAGGAACACCGAUGGCGAAGGCAGCCCCCUGGGUCAACACUGACGCUCAUGCACGAAAGCGUGGGUAGCAAACAGGAUUAGAUACCCUAGUAGUC